rnacentral:rRNA from 1 species
UACGUAGGCAGCAAGCGUUGUUCGGAAUUACUGGGCGUAAAGAGUGUGUAGGCGGUGCUCCAAGUCUGGUGUGAAAUCUCCCGGCUUAACUGGGAGGGUGCAUUAGAAACUGGAAUGCUAGAGGAUGGGAGAGGUAAGCGGAAUUCCUGGUGUAGCGGUGAAAUGCGUAGAUAUCAGGAGGAACACCUGUGGUGUAGACAGCUUACUGGACCAUUUCUGACGCUGAGGAGCGAAAGCGUGGGGAGCGAACAGG